rnacentral:rRNA from 1 species
UACGGAGGUCCCAAGCGUUGUUCGGAAUUACUGGGCGUAAAGGGUGCGUAGGCGGACAGGUAAGUCUAAAGUGGAAUCCCGGGGCUCAACCUCGGAACUGCUUCGGAUACUGCUUGUCUUGAGUUCGUGAGAGGAAAGCGGAAUUCAGGGUGUAGCGGUGAAAUGCUUAGAUAUCCUGAGGAACACCAAUGGCGAAGGCAGCUUUCUGGCGCGAUACUGACGCUGAGGCUCGAAAGCGUGGGGAGCGAACGGG